AUUGAACGCUGGCGGCAGGCCUAACACAUGCAAGUCGAGCGAGCGGCGGACGGGUGAGUAAUGUAUGGGGACUGCCCGAUAGAGGGGGCUAACUACUGGAAACGGUGGCUAAUACCGCAUACUAUCGGAUAACCCAUAUGGGAUUAGCUAGUGGGUGGGGUAACGGCUCACCUAGGCGACGAUCUCUAGCUGGUCUGAGAGGAUGAUCAGCCGAACUGGGACGGAGAAACGGCCCAUACUCCUACGGAGGCAGAAGGGGGGAAUAUUGCACAAUGGGCGCAAGCCUGAUGCAGCCAUGCCGCGUGUAUGAAGAAGGCCUUGGGGUUGGAGAGUACGUUCAGCUGGGAGGCGUUACCCGCAGAAGAAGCACCGGCUAACUCCGUGCCAGCAGCCGCGGUAAUUC
rnacentral:rRNA from 1 species